AAGGCCCAAAAAUUCGACCAUGUAUUCAAGUUGUAACAACAAUCAAACACUGGACUAAUGUGCUAUUUUCGCAAUUUCAGAGAGCCGAAACUUGUUAUAAAUAAUAUAAAAAGCAAGUAUUUUUCGGACCAGAGCAUCUUCAGCUGCCAUGGCGACUGUACGAAUGAUAGACAUAGCCGUAAAUUUUACUGAUAGCAUGUUCAAAGGGAUAUACAAUGGGAAGCAAUAUCAUAUGGGGGACAUUCAAGCUGUGUUGAAGAGGGCGUGGAGCGCUGGAGUUGAUCGCAUAAUUGUAA